rnacentral:rRNA from 1 species
AGAGAAUUCCCCUGGGUGCACCUAGUCCCAUCCAGUUUCAGAAGUUAAGCAGGGUCGAGCUGGGUCAGUAUUUGGAUGGGUGACCAUCAGAAAACAGCAAGGAUCUUUG